UACGUAGGUGACAAGCGUUGUCCGGAUUUACUGGGCGUAAAGAGCGCGCAGGCGGUCGAUCAAGUCGAGUGUGAAAGCCCCCGGCUCAACUGGGGAGGGUCAUUCGAUACUGAUCGACUCGAAGGCAGGAGAGGCAAGUGGAAUUACCGGUGUAGCAGUGAAAUGCGUAGAGAUCGGUAGGAACACCAAUGGCGAAGGCAGCUUGCUGGCAUGUAUCUGACGCUAAGGCACGAAAAGCGUGGGGAGCGAACAGG
rnacentral:rRNA from 1 species